CUUCUCUCAGGAUCACACUUGGAGAGUUUCCAGUACUCUACCAGUCUCGGCUAUGGGAGGGAGAGUCAAGUAGAGGCCUAUCCAUUCCCUUUUUAGUCUGGGCAGUGGCUAGCGAGUGGAAGGCAAUCUGCUACAAGU